rnacentral:lncRNA from 1 species
AUAUUUUCCGAUAAAAACGUAUCGCGGAAAUCAGUAUUUGGGGUUUCUUAAAAAUAGUAGUGUAAUGGUUGUGGAAUUCAUCCCCUAAGAGAACCUUUCGCUUAGUACACGAUUAAGACAUACAAUAUAGAAAAUCGGGAAAACGAUUAAUGGAUAAGGGCUGAAUAGGGUUUACAUAAUAGACAAAUGUGAAAAAAAGAGGAGAAAAUGGGAAAAACAAUAAAUAAUAGAGAAAUAAUCGGAUGUUAACUAAUCUAUAACAAAUAGAUUAUAAUUCACAAACAAUAAAAUAAGUAGAGUAAACUUACCUCUAUUUGAGGGUGGGGAAAUGAAGACGCCAAACCCAUCCAGACACUCAUAAAAGUGAAUCAAUAUUACGUUAUCGGUGC